rnacentral:sRNA from 1 species
GCUGGGCAUGGUGGUACACACCUGUAGUCCCAGCAUCUCAGGAGGCUGAGGCAGGAGGAUCACAAGUUCAAAGCCAGCCUCAGCCACUUAUGAGGUCCUAAACAACUUAGUGAGACCCUGUCUCUA